UGCUUGUGCUACUGUUGAUGAAUUGAAGAAGUUGCUACAGGUUUGGUUUCUAAAGUUUUAGUGAGGUUUUGAUUGUGACAACCACUUUACUCCGCAUGAUUGGAACCUGACUCCAAAUCUGGAUGCUGUACAGUGACAUUGUCAAGUCCAGCUUACCUUUCCACUUGCAACAUUUAUGACACUGUCAUCACAGGAAAUCUGUAGAAUAUAGAUCAUGAAUUGAUUCCAAGAGCUUAGGCACUGUUUUCUUUGGAUCCACAUUAGUAGCAGCUUCGAAGGCUUCCAUAGAAGAUUUGUAAAUGGUUGGUGAGUGAGAGAUGAUACAUUCAUUCACGUGGUUAAUUUGUUUGAGAGGUUUAAGCAUUUCAAAGCAUAUGAUAAUCUGUUUGGGACUUUCUUUCUUUGAAUAUGCAAGUAAUCUAUUAUUUUCUUGCCACACUAAGACCAAGGAUUAAUGGGUAUAGAUUGCCAUUCAUAAAAAAUGUGAGGACUCACGUUUUGACUCUAACAACCUUGUGAGCAUAAUUCAUUCCCUAAUCUAAUC
rnacentral:lncRNA from 1 species